UCCAUCCUCAACCAAACACCAGAACCAUGACCUGCUGUGGCUGUUCAGGAGGCUGUGGCUCCAGCUGUGGGGGCUGUGGCUCCAGCUGUGGGGGAUGUGGCUCCAGCUGCUGCAAACCUGUGUGUUGCUGUAAGCCUGUGUGCUGUUGUGUUCCUGUGUGUUCCUGCUCCAGCUGUGGUGGUUGUGACUCCAACUGUGGGGGCUGUGGCUCCAGCUGUGGAGGCUGUGGCUCCAGCUGUGGGGGCUGUGGCUCAGGCUGUGGAGGCUGUGGUUCUAGCUGCUGCAAGCCUGUUUGCUGCUGUAAACCAGUUUGCUGUUGUGUUCCUGUCUGUUCCUGCUCCAGCUGUGGAGGCUGUGGCUCCAGCUGUGGUGGAUGUGGCAGCUGUGGCUCCAGUUGUGGGGGCUGUGGCUCCAGCUGCUGCAAGCCUGUGUGCUGCUGUGUGCCUGUCUGUUCCUGCUCCAGCUGUGGAGGCUGCAAGCCCUGCUGCUGCCAGUCCAGCUGCUGCAAACCCUGUUGCUGUCAGUCCAGCUGCUGCAAGCCCUGCUGCUGUCAGUCUUGCUGCUGCAAGCCCUGCUGUUCAUCAGACUGCGGGUCUUCCUGCUGUCAGUCCAGCUGCUGCAAGCCCAGUUGCUGUCAGUCCAGCUGCUGCAAGCCCUGCUGCUGUCAGUCUAGCUGCUGCAAGCCCUGUUGUUCAUCAGGCUGCGGGUCUUCCUGCUGUCAGGACAGCUGCUGA